UACGUAGGUGGCAAGCGUUGUCCGGAAUUAUUGGGCGUAAAGCGCGCGCAGGCGGCCUCUUAAGUCUGAUGUGAAAGCCCCCGGCUCAACCGGGGAGGGCCAUUGGAAACUGGGAGGCUUGAGUAUAGGAGAGAAGAGUGGAAUUCCGACGUGUAGCGGUGAAAUGCGUAGAGAUGUGGAGGAACACCAGUGGCGAAGGCGACUCUUUGGCCAUACUGACGCUGAGGCGCGAAAGCGUGGGGAGCAAACAGG
rnacentral:rRNA from 1 species